rnacentral:rRNA from 1 species
AGCAGCCGCGGUAAUUCCAGCUCCAAUAGCGUAUAUUAAAGUUGUUGCAGUUAAAAAGCUCGUAGUUGAAUUUCGGGGUUAGUAGGCUGGUCGUGCCACUGGUAUGUACUGGUCUUACUGACUUCUCCUUUCUGAAGAACUGUAAUGCCAUUAAUUUGGUGUUGCAGGGAAUCAGGACUGUUACUUUGAAAAAAUUAGAGUGUUUAAAGCAGGCUAACGCUUGAAUACAUUAGCAUGGAAUAAUGAAAUAGGACGUUCGAUCCUAUUUUGUUGGUUUCUAGGAUUGACGUAAUGAUUAAUAGGGAUAGUUGGGGGCAUUAGUAUUCAAUUGUCAGAGGUGAAAUUCUUGGAUUUAUUGAAGACUAACUACUGCGAAAGUAUUUGCCAAGGAUGUUUUCAUUAAUCAAGAACGAAAGUUAGGGGAUCGAAGACGAUCAGAUACCGUCGUAGUCUUAACCAUAAACUAUGCCGACUAGGGAUCGGGAUGAUGUUAAUUUUUAAUGUACUCAUUCGGCGCCUU